rnacentral:rRNA from 1 species
AGUUGAUACUGGAUGUCUUGAGUGCAGUUGAGGCAGGCGGAAUUCGUGGUGUAGCGGUGAAAUGCUUAGAUAUCACGAAGAACUCCGAUUGCGAAGGCAGCCUGCUAAGCUGCAACUGACAUUGAGGCUCGAAAGUGUGGGUAUCAAACAGGAUUAGAUACCCUGGUAGUCCACACGGUAAACGAUGAAUACUCGCUGUUUGCGAUAUACGGCAAGCGGCCAAGCGAAAGCGUUAAGUAUUCCACCUGGGGAGUACGCCGGCAACGGUGAAACUCAAAGGAAUUGACGGGGGCCCGCACAAGCGGAGGAACAUGUGGUUUAAUUCGAUGAUACGCGAGGAACCUUACCCGGGCUUAAAUUGCACUCGAAUGAUCCGGAAACGGUUCAGCUAGCAAUAGCGAGUGUGAAGGUGCUGCAUGGUUGUCGUCAGCUCGUGCCGUGAGGUGUCGGCUUAAGUGCCAUAACGAGCGCAACCCUUGUUGUCAGUUACUAACAGGUGAUGCUGAGGACUCUGACAAGACUGCCAUCGUAAGAUGUGAGGAAGGUGGGGAUGACGUCAAAUCAGCACGGCCCUUACGUCCGGGGCUACACACGUGUUACAAUGGGGGGUACAGAGGGCCGCUACCACGCGAGUGGAUGCCAAUCCCUAAAACCCCUCUCAGUUCGGACUGGAGUCUGCAACCCGACUCCACGAAGCUGGAUUCGCUAGUAAUCGCGCAUCAGCCACGGCGCGGUGAAUACGUUCCCGGGCCUUGUACACACCGCCCGUCAAGCCAUGGGAGCCGGGGGUACCUGAAGUGCGUAACCGCGAGGAUCGCCCUAGGGUAAAACUGGUGACUGGGGCUAAGUCGUAACAAGGUAGCCGUACCGGAAGGUGCGGCUG